AAGGGCUUGGAGUCCAUGCCCAGGUACCUUAUCAGUCCUGCGGCCUCUGGUCCCCUUUGGUGGCCCUCGCUUGGGUGUCACCUCUCCAGCUUCCACAGUUCCUGAUCCCUGCGGCUCUAGUCACUAGGAGACCGCGAAGAGCCAUUCAUAACCCAGGUUCUUCCUGGAGGCGGGACAGUGCUGACAUCACCUGCGCAGCCUGGAUUCUGACAGUGAAUACCUGCUACUGAGGGAACAUCUCCGUGCCACUGAGUGGACAACAGUGAAAUGAGUACACCUGAGCCAUGGGAAGACAUGCCUUGCUUCCCCCUCACCUUCUGCUGUGAUUGUAAGUUUCCUGAGGCCUCCCCAGCCA
rnacentral:lncRNA from 1 species